GUCUUCAGGUGAAUUCUGCAGGUCCUGCAAUCGCAGUGUACCUUGCAGAGCACCUAGAGCCUCUUCAUUUUGAUUGUCAGCUAAACCAUCGUCACCGGCAAGAACACCCAGUGUUCCUGAACAAAGGCCAGAAGUCAGACGGAGAAAGUCACUUAUUAUAGUGUCUGACUAAUGCAACACUUUACUACUGCGAUCUGGGACAAUUUUCUCAAUUCAAUCGAGAGUUUCAAUAAAAUAUAUACACAGAAGAAAAAUACAAUCAACAACUACAAGAAAAACAAAUAAGGGGAGAAAAUUGCGUGAGAUUUGAGGGAGAAAAAAAUAUUAUGGAAAACAUACCUGUGCCAAGAGUGUACGGUGACUCGGUGGUAUUGGCCGAAUGAUGGUUCUGCAGAAACUCCAUCUCUGCAAAUUUUCCACCGACAAGUCUCCCUUUAGAAAC